AGACGUCUACAUUAGAUACCCGGGUAGUCCUAGCCGUAAACGAUACUCGCUAGGUGUCGGCCACGGUGCGACCGUUGUCGGUGCCGUAGGGAAGCCGUGAAGCGGGCCACCUGGGAAGUACGGCCGCAAGGCUGAAACUUAAAGGAAUUGGCGGGGGAGCACAACAACGGGUGGAGCUUGCGGUUUAAUUGGAUUCAACGCCGGAAAUCUUACCGGGACCGACAGCAACAUGAAGGCCAAGCUGAAGACUUUGCCGGAUUAGCUG
rnacentral:rRNA from 1 species